rnacentral:rRNA from 1 species
CCUACGGGAGGCAGCAGUGAGGAAUAUUGGUCAAUGGGCGGGAGCCUGAACCAGCCAAGUCGCGUGAGGGAUGACGGCCCUAUGGGUUGUAAACCUCUUUUGCCGGGGAGCAAAGCGCCGCACGUGUGCGGUUUGGAGAGUACCUGGAGAAAAAGCAUCGGCUAACUCCGUGCCAGCAGCCGCGGUAAUACGGGGGAUGCGAGCGUUAUCCGGAUUUAUUGGGUUAAAGGGGUGCGUGGGCGGACGCUUAUGUCAGCGGUAAAAUUGUGGGGCUCAAGCUCGUCGAGCCGUUGUAACGGGGUGCCUUGAGUGGGCGAGAGGUAUGCGGAAUGCGUGGUGUAGCGGUGAAAUGCAUAGAUAUCACGAAGAACUCCGAUUGCGAAGGCAGCAUACCGGCGCUCAACUGACGCUCAUGCACGAAAGUGUGGGUAUCGAACAGGAUUAGAUACCCGGGUAGUC